UGGUGGUUGUAGUAGUGGUGGUGGUGGUGGUAGUAGAACCUGGUGGCCUAUCAGCAUGGCGACAGUGUGUACUACGUGAGCAUCAGGAACGUGGAGCCACGGCAAGAGCUCAGGGUUUGGUACGCAGCAUCCUAUGCUCUGUUUGUUGGAGUAAAAACAUUCGAAGUAACAGACGAGGAGAGGAGAGUGCUGAGGGAUCAGGACAAACUGUGGCCUUGCUUUGAGUGCUCCCGACGGUUCAGCAGCUCUGAUCAGCUUCAACAGCAUCUCAACUUACACGAUGACUUCGUAGGAGUUACACGGUGAGUUAGACACCUCUAGUUAGACACAGCUAGUUAGACACAGCUAGUUAGACAUCUCAACUUACACGAUGACUUCGUAGGAGUUACACGGUGAGUUAGACACCUCUAGUUAGACACAGCUAGUUAGACAACUCUAG